rnacentral:rRNA from 1 species
GAUGAAUGCUAGCGACAGGCUUAACACAUGCAAGUCGAGGGGCAGCACGGGAGUAGCAAUACAACUGGUGGCGACCGGCGCACGGGUGAGUAACGCGUAUGCAACCUACCUAUCAGAGGGGAAUAACCCGGCGAAAGUCGGACUAAUACCGCAUAAAACAGGGGCACCGCAUGGUGAUAUUUGUUAAAGAAAUUCGCUGAUAGAUGGGCAUGCGUUCCAUUAGGUAGUUGGUGAGGUAACGGCUCACCAAGCCGACGAUGGAUAGGGGAACUGAGAGGUUGGUCCCCCACACUGGUACUGAGACCCGGACCAGACUCCUACGGGAGGCAGCAGUGAGGAAUAUUGGUCAAUGGGCGAGAGCCUGAACCAGCCAAGUCGCGUGAAGGAAGAAGGAUCUAUGGUUCGUAAACUUCUUUUGCAGGGGAAUAAAGUGCAGGACGUGUCCUGUUUUGUAUGUACCCUGAGAAUAAGGAUCGGCUAACUCCGUGCCAGCCGCCGCGGUAAAAC